rnacentral:misc_RNA from 1 species
GAACUGAUCCUAAUCAAAAUACUGGAAUUUCAAUCCACAAUUCUCGAGUCAUGGCUGCUUCAGACCUUAAACCAGUGCUUAGCUCAUUCAAGACUUACUUGGGGAGACCAUGGAAGAAGUAUUCAAGAACUGUUUUUCUCCAAACUUACCUUGAUUCUUUGGUGGAUCCUGCAGGCUGGCUUGAAUGGGAUGGUGAUUUUGCCCUA